UCAUAAUAAAGUGUUUUAUGGCACUUUUUUAAAUCCAUAUCCACCUUGUGUGCAAUGUCAGGGUUGGUUUCUCUCUUUUGAGAGAUCAACCCCAAACAUCAACUCUAUCUUAACUCUUUGUCUGAAAAAUAUUAUGAAUAAAACAAUUCAAAAUACAACUUUCAACAACGGAUCUCUUGGCUCUCGCAUCGAUGAAGAACGCAGCGAAAUGCGAUACGUAAUGUGAAUUGCAGAAUUCAGUGAAUCAUCGAAUCUUUGAACGCAUAUUGCGCUCUUUGGUAUUCCGAAGAGCAUGCUUGUUUGAGUAUCAGUAAACACCUCAAAGCCUUUUUUCUUUUUUGAAGAAAGGCUUUGGACUUGAGCAAUCCCAACACCAAUCUUUUAAAGAGAGGGGGCGGGUUGCUUGAAAUGCAGGUGCAGCUGGACAUUCUCCUGAGCUAAAAGCAUAUUCAUUUAGUCCCGUCAAACGGAUUAUUACUUUUGCUGCAGCUAAUAUAAAGGGAGUUUGACCAUUUUGGCUGACUGAUGCAGGAUUUUCACAAGAGUCUUCAAAACCUCUUGUUAAACUCGAUCUCAAAUCAAGUAAGACUACCCGCUGAA
rnacentral:rRNA from 1 species